CGGUGGAUGAUGUGGUUUAAUUCGAUGCAACGCGAAAAACCUUACCCACCUUUGACAUGUACGGAAUUUUCCAGAGAUGGAUUAGUGCUCGAAAGA
rnacentral:rRNA from 1 species